rnacentral:rRNA from 1 species
UAGGGAAUCUUCCACAAUGGACGAAAGUCUGAUGGAGCAACGCUGCGUGAGUGAAGAAGGUUUUCGGAUCGUAAAGCUCUGUUGUUGGUGAAGAAGGAUAGAGGCAGUAACUGGUCUUUAUUUGACGGUAAUCAACCAGAAAGUCACGGCUAACUACGUGCCAGCAGCCGCGGUAAUACGUAGGUGGCAAGCGUUGUCCGGAUUUAUUGGGCGUAAAGCGAGCGCAGGCGGAAUGAUAAGUCUGAUGUGAAAGCCCACGGCUCAACCGUGGAACUGCAUCGGAAACUGUCAUUCUUGAGUGCAGAAGAGGAGAGUGGAACUCCAUGUGUAGCGGUGGAAUGCGUAGAUAUAUGGAAGAACACCAGUGGCGAAGGCGGCUCUCUGGUCUGCAACUGACGCUGAGGCUCGAAAGCAUGGGUAGCGAACAGGAUUAGAUACCCUGGUAGUCCAUGCCGUAAACGAUGAGCGCUAGGUGUUGGGGACUUUCCGGUCCUCAGUGCCGCAGCAAACGCAUUAAGCGCUCCGCCUGGGGAGUACGACC